rnacentral:rRNA from 1 species
AAGAAGCACCGGCUAACUACGUGCCAGCAGCCGCGGUAAUACGUAGGGUGCGAGCGUUAUCCGGAAUUAUUGGGCGUAAAGAGCUCGUAGGCGGUUUGUCNCGUCUGUCGUGAAAGUCCGGGGCUUAACCCCGGAUCUGCGGUGGGUACGGGCAGACUAGAGUGCANUANGGGAGACUGGAAUUCCUGGUGUAGCGGUGGAAUGCGCAGAUAUCAGGAGGAACACCGAUGGCGAANGCANGUCUCUGGGGCUGUA